rnacentral:ncRNA from 1 species
CCCUGAAAAGCUCUAAAGGCACAAAGGUUUGGUCCUGACCUUGUUAUCAGCUUUUUCUAAACUUACACAUGCAAGUCUCAGCACACCCGUGAGGACGCCCUUUUAUCUACACCAGCACAAGGAGCCGGUAUCAGGCACUAAAACUUGCCCAUUACACCUAGUCUCACCACACCUCUAAAGGCUACAGCAGUGAUAAACAUUGUUCAUAAGCGACAGCUUGACUCAGUUACAGAAAAAAGAGCUGGCUAACUCGGUGCCAGCCGCCGCGGCUAAACCGCACGAGCUCAAGUUGAUAAACAUCGGCGUUAAGCGUGAUUAAAGAUAAACUAAAAUUAGAAUAAAACUAACACUUAGCUGUGACAAGCUUGUCUCUUAGGAAAAACAAAAACGAAAGUUAUUCUAAUAUACUUGAACCCACGACAGUUGAGAAACAAACUGGGAUUAGAUACCCCACUAUGCCCAACCGUAAAAUAUACACUCACAUCACCAACGCCAGGGAAUUACGAGCCUAGCUUAAAACCCAAAGGACUUGACGGUGUCCCACCCAGCUAGAGGAGCCUGUUCUAUAAUCGAUAACCCCCGAUUUACCUAACCCUAUUUUGCCAUUCAGCCUGUAUACCUCCGUCGUAAGCUUACCAUAUAAAUGCCCACAGUAAGUCUAAUGAUCUUAACAUCAAUACGUCAGGUCAAGGUGCAGCUUAUAGUAGGGAAAGAAAUGGGCUACAAUUUCUAAAUUAGAACAUACGAAAUGCUUCAUGAAACACAGCCACGAAGGCGGAUUUAGUAGUAAAAGGGGAAUAAUGCGCCCCUUUUAACAAGGCCCUGGGACGUGUACACACCGCCCGUCACCCUCUUCAACAACCCACAAUAUGUUUAUAACAACCCACCUUAUUUUAGAAGAGGCAAGUCGUAACAUGGUAAGUGUACCGGAAGGUGCACUUGGACAAACAAAAUAUAGCUUAACCUAAAGCCCCUCGCUUACACCGAGAAAAUAUCUGUGAAAGCCAGAUUAUUUUGAGCCCAAAAUUUAGCCUAAUUAAAAUCUUAUGUGCCCACAACUAACCCCCCCCCCAAAAAUUAAAACAUUUUACUUUUCUAGUAGAGGCGAUCAAAAAACUUAUUAGAGCUAUACAACUAGUACCGCAAGGGAAAAAUGAAAUAGUUUUGAAAUAGCCCUAAAGCAAAACACAGCAGAGAUUACCCCUCCUACCUUUUGCAUCAUGGUUUAGCUAGUCCCUAACAAGCAAAGCGAAACAUCAGUUUGUCCCCCCGAAACUAGACGAGCUACUUUAAAACAGUUUUAUAGAACCAACCCGUCUCUGUUGCAAAAGAGUGGGAUGAUUUUAAAGUAGAGGUGAAAAGCCUACCGAGCCUAGAGAUAGCUGGUUACUUAAGAAAGGAAUUUUAGUUCAAUCCCAAGUCUUCCCAUUUAGAAGAUAAACAACCAAGACUUGAGAAUUAAUUAAAUAAGGCACAGCUUAUUUAAUAAAGGAUACAGCCUAUAAAAAAGGGUAAAACUAUUAACACGGAUCAAGUGGGCCUAAAAGCAGCCACCUUUAAAAAAGCGUUAAAGCUUCAUCUUCUAAACCUGAUAAAUACCUCACCUCUCUUUAAACCCUUUAAUACUAUUAAGUAAUUCUAUAAAUAUAUAGAAGCUUUUAUGCUAAAACUAGUAACAAGAAAAUGUUUUUCUCCAAAAUUUAAGCAUAAGCCAAAAUGGACUCACCGUUGGCAAUUAACGUUAAUAAAAUCACUAUAACAACACACCUAGAAAACAUUAUACUUUCUCCACGUUAACCUUACACAAGUAAAUUUCUGGAAAGAUUAAAAGAAAAAGAAGGAACUCGGCAAAUUUUAACCCCGCCUGUUUACCAAAAACAUCGCCUCUUGAUAAAAUAUAAGAGGUCCAGCCUGCCCAGUGAUAUUCUUAAACGGCCGCGGUACCCUGACCGUGCAAAGGUAGCAUAAUCAUUUGUUCUUUAAAUAAGGACUCGUAUCAACGGCAUUACGAGGGUUAUACUGUCUCCUUUUUCCAAUCAGUGAAACUGACCUCCCCGUGAAGAGGCGGGGAUAUACAAACAAGACGAGAAGACCCCAUGGAGCUUUAAACCCAAUAACAACUCUCUUUAAUAAAAACUUUAAAAAUAUAGACGUACUGUUUAUUGGUUUUGGGUUGGGGUGACCACGGAGUAAAAAUUAACCUCCCUGACGAAUAGAUCUCAUCUUUAUCCAAGAGCAACUGCUCGAAGAAUCAAAAAUUUGACGCUACAUGAUCCGGCAACCGAUCAACGAACCAAGUUACCCUGGGGAUAACAGCGCAAUCCAUUUCAAGAGCUCCUAUCGACAAAUGGGUUUACGACCUCGAUGUUGGAUCAGGGUAUCCCAGUGGUGCAGCCGCUACUAAAGGUUUGUUUGUUCAACAAUU